rnacentral:rRNA from 1 species
AGAGUUUGAUCCUGGCUCAGGACGAACGCUGGCGGCGUGCUUAACACAUGCAAGUGGAGCGACGAACCGGGCUUCGGCCCGGGGCAAAGCCGCGAACGGGUGAGUAACACGUGGGUAACCUGCCCCGAUGACCGGGACAACCCGGGGAAACCCGGGCUAAUACCGGAUGUGCUCCCGCCACACCAGUGGCGUGAGUAAAGGUAGCUUCGGCUUCCGCUUCGGGAUGGGCCCGCGGCGCAUUAGCUUGUUGGUGGGGUAACGGCCUACCAAGGCGACGAUGCGUAGCUGGUCUGAGAGGACGAUCAGCCACACUGGGACUGAGACACGGCCCAGACUCCUACGGGAGGCAGCAGUGGGGAAUCUUGCGCAAUGCGCGAAAGCGUGACGCAGCAACGCCGCGUGAGGGAAGACGGCCUUCGGGUUGUAAACCUCUUUCAGUUGGGACGAAGCCUCGGCGGUGAACAGCCGCCGCGGGUGACGGUACCUUCAGAAGAAGCCCCGGCUAACUACGUGCCAGCAGCCGCGGUAAUACGUAGGGGGCAAGCGUUGUCCGGAAUCAUUGGGCGUAAAGAGCGCGUAGGCGGCCCGAUAAGUCUGCCGUGAAAGCCAGGGGCUCAACCCUUGGAUGCCGGUGGAUACUGUCGGGCUAGAGUCCGGAAGAGGCGAGUGGAAUUCCUGGUGUAGCGGUGAAAUGCGCAGAUAUCAGGAAGAACACCGAUGGCGAAGGCAGCUCGCUGGGACGGAACUGACGCUGAGGCGCGAAAGCGUGGGGAGCGAACAGGAUUAGAUACCCUAGUAGUCC